AACCUUAAGCAUAGUGAGCAAGACAAAGUUGAUGGAUCAUGAGUGUAGCAUUUGUCAGAUCAGAUGGCUCAACCUAAUGGAACGAUAAUCUAUCUAUAUUUAUGUUUUGUUUAUAUCUUCCAAAGAUUGCAUGUGCAAUACUUUAGCUUAUACGAUUAGGAGUGUGGGGUCACGAAGGUAGUACUAAGAACAAAGAUUAAAGGACUAAACAUGUUGAAUUAAUUGAGUUGGUU
rnacentral:lncRNA from 1 species